rnacentral:lncRNA from 1 species
CCUAUGACAAGUAUUGACAAUCUUUCUUUCGCACUGUAAAGUUUAUCUUAUCAUAACUGAACAAAAUCUUUUAUUAUAGAGCAUAUGUAAGAUGGAAACAAAGUAAUUGCAAGCUUUAAAAAUGCUCUCAUUUCUAUGACUGUAUAAAAUCUUUAAUAUACAGUGUAGUAUUUUUUUAACAUUUUUUAUUUUAUGUGUACGAAUGUAUUGCCUGCAUGUGUGUAAGUACACCCAUGUCACGCAAUGCCCAAGGAGGUUCAGAAGAAGGCAUCAAAUCCCCUGGAACUGCAGCUACAGAUGGCUGUUAGCCACCAUGUGGGUGCUGGGAAUCAAACCCAGGUCCUCUGCAAGAACAGUUAGUGCUCUUAACUGCUGAGCCAUCUCUCCAGCCCCCAAGUGUAGUAUUAACACUCUAUCAACCAAUAAACUGAGUUUCUGCUAUGGACAAACCACAUGACAGGCUCUAGGCAUACAGUGUAAGAUGCUACCGUAGGUAAUGUGUUUUAAAUGUGAGCAUGUUUUUAUAAAACAACUUACUUUUUUUUUUUCAAAAUUACUUUUUAUGGGGUUUCAUGGGGACAAAAAUUUCAGACCCACAAAAAGAAUGUAGAAAACUGCAAAAAACUACUAAAAAAACUGGGAAAAUACAGCAAUCAAAAAGAUAGAGCAAAUUAUACACUAAGCUGCAAUCUACAGGAAGAGCUGCUUGCUGUCUCAGAAAGACAAGACAUUUGCAAUGAAAUCGGGUCUAAGCUGACUUGUGAAAAGAUUGCCAAAGAACAAUAUGAUAACAUGAUGAAACAACAGAAGUUGACACAUCUCUCAAAACAACAAGCUGAACAGAUUUCAGUAUUUCAGGCUGAAGUUGAAAGACUAAGGAUGAAAACAUUUCCAGCCCUCGUUCCAAUGUAAAACACUGGCAGGAUCAAGAGGCCAAAC